rnacentral:rRNA from 1 species
UUGAUAUCCUAAGAACCUUUUAGAGAUAAGAGGGUGCUAGCUUGCUAGAACUUAGAGACAGGUGCUGCACGGCUGUCGUCAGCUCGUGUCGUGAGAUGUUGGGUUAAGUCCCGCAACGAGCGCAACCCACGUAUUUAGUUGCUAACGGUUCGGCCGAGCACUCUAAAUAGACUGCCUUCGUAAGGAGGAGGAAGGUGUGGACGACGUCAAGUCAUCAUGGCCCUUAUGCCCAGGGCGACACACGUGCUACAAUGGCAUAUACAAUGAGACGCAAUACCGCGAGGUGGAGCAAAUCUAUAAAAUAUGUCCCAGUUCGGAUUGUUCUCUGCAACUCGAGAGCAUGAAGCCGGAAUCGCUAGUAAUCGUAGAUCAGCCAUGCUACGGUGAAUACGUUCCCGGGUCUUGUACUCACCGCCCGUCACACCAUGGGAGUUGAUUUCACUCGAAGCCGGAAUACUAAACUAGUUACCGUCCACAGUGGAAUCAGCGACUGGGGUGAAGUCGUAACAAGGUAACCGUAGGAGAACCUGCGGUUGGA